rnacentral:rRNA from 1 species
AUUGAACGCUGGCGGCAGGCCUAACACAUGCAAGUCGAGCGAGUGGCGGACGGGUGAGUAAUGUAUGGGAAACUGCCUGAUGGAGGGGGAUAACUACUGGAAACGGUAGCUAAUACCGCAUACCAUCAGAUGAACCCAUAUGGGAUUAGCUUGUUGGUGAGGUAACGGCUCACCAAGGCGACGAUCCCUAGCUGGUCUGAGAGGAUGACCAGCCACACUGGAACUGAGACACGGCCCAGCCUCCUACGGGAGGCAGCAGUGGGGAAUAUUGCACAAUGGGCGCAAGCCUGAUGCAGCCAUGCCGCGUGUAUGAAGAAGGCCUUCGGGUUGUAAAGUACUUUCAGUGGGGAGGCGUUACCCGCAGAAGAAGCACCGGCUAACUCCGUGCCAGCAGCCGCGGUAAUAC